UAGUCCUUUAAUAAAGUCCCGUGAGGCUUGGAAGGAAACGGAAUGAUUGUGGGGAUAAGUGUAUCUGCUUAUCACACAUCACAAAGCUGUACGUUUACCUCUAGCCUGCUUGGCUGGAGGUUUUUUUUAU
rfam:Bacillus pseudofirmus OF4, complete genome.